AGCUGGUCCGAGCCCAGUGGUGUUUAUAACUCAUCGAUCACAAACAGUUGCAGAUGUCUUUGUUCCUUCCCUACACCCGGUGUUUCAUUUGACUAGCCUCAC
ensembl:misc_RNA Y_RNA Y RNA